CUCCAGAGCCGCAUGCACAUUCACCCUGCUGAUGUUCUCCUGGAUCUCCGCCUGCGUCAGGCAGUGGGUGUAGAUGUCCCCUCCUUCUGCCGGGACCCACUCCCUGCCGCCGCCCUUCUCCCUCUGAGCCCCCCGCAGCACAUCCUGGUAAGCGGCCGCCAGCGCCGUGCGCAGCCCCCGCAGCAUCGCCCCGGGGUGGAGCAGCGCCUCCAUGGUGCGCCCCACAUCCCCGCGCUCCACUGCCACGUUGAUGGCCAACACCGCCGCGUGCACUGCUGCCUCAUCCAGAGAGAGCUCAUCGGC
rnacentral:lncRNA from 1 species